GCCAGACUCCUACGGGAGGCAGCAGUGGGGGAUAUUGCACAAUGGGGGAAACCCUGAUGCAGCGACGCCGCGUGAGUGAAGAAGUAUUUCGGUAUGUAAAGCUCUAUCAGCAGGGAAGAAAAAAGACGGUACCUGACUAAGAAGCCCCGGCUAACUACGUGCCAGCAGCCGCGGUAAUACGUAGGGGGCAAGCGUUAUCCGGAUUUACUGGGUGUAAAGGGAGCGUAGACGGCAAUACAAGUCGGAGGUGAAAUACCCGGGCUCAACCUGGGAACUGCUUUGGAAACUGUAUGGCUGGAGUGCUGGAGAGGUAAGCGGAAUUCCCAGUGUAGCGGUGAAAUGCGUAGAUAUUAGGAGGAACACCAGUGGCGAAGGCGGCUUACUGGACAGUAACUGACGUUGAGGCUCGAAAGCGUGGGGAGCAAACAGGAUUAGAUACCCGUGUAUG
rnacentral:rRNA from 1 species